rnacentral:rRNA from 1 species
UACGUAGGGUGCGAGCGUUGUCCGGAAUUAUUGGGCGUAAAAGAGCUUGUAGGCGGUCCUUUAAGUCUGAUGUGAAAGCCCACGGCUUAACCGUGGAGGGUCAUUUGAAACUGAGGGACUUGAGUACAGAAGAGGAGAGUGGAAUUCCACGUGUAGCGGUGAAAUGCGUAGAGAUGUGGAGGAACACCAGUGGCGAAGGCGACUCUCUGGUCUGUAACUGACGCUGAGGUGCGAAAGCGUGGGUAGCAAACAGGAUUAGAUACCCCUGUAGU